GGGAGCACUUGAUGUACCUGUUAGGAACAAUCAGGAAAGCCUGAUGCUUACAGCAAAUGAACCCCAAGUUCGGAUUUCUAGAAAGAACACUUAAUUGAUAAGUUUGCCAGUCUGUGUGGUAGUGGAAUAGGAGACGGGAUGACAUAUUGCUAACAGAGUGCUAUGGCUGAGGAGCCAGAAAGGACUUGGUUUAUUCAGCUGAGCAUGCUGUGCUCAAGCAUUCUUUGCUCUUUAAGCAAUAGUUGAAGAUUAAGAAUGGAAUAUCCAGAAUUUGCAACUUAUUUUUUGUAUAUUUUUAAUUUUCAUUGUUUCAUUUAGUGACCUUGCACUUGUCUCCCCUUUGCACAUCUGGCUAACAUGGUAUCUGGAGAGUCGAACAUGUGUCCUUAGGCUGUACUGUCAAGCGUCUUAACCGCUAAGCCAUCUUUCCAGCCCAAGUUUGCAAUUUAUUAAAGAUCUUUGGCAAGGCCAUGGAAAAUGGAGUUAGAAGAAGAUGGUACUGAAAGAAAGAAGCCAUGGAAAAGAUCACAGUCUGAGGAGAAAACAAGAGGACACACAUACACGCACACAUGCACACACACAUGCACAUAUGCAUGCACACGCAGUGGAGAUGAAAGGAUGGAUUUAAAGAGGACUUGGGAAAUCUCAUCUGCAGGUGAACCUGGGGUUGGAGCUGAGCUGAGCUGUCCCUGUCCAGCCUAAUUAACAGGCAUAGGUAAUGAGGGCUCAGACGAAGAAAGGUCAUACAGGAUACAAAGAAUAAAGCAGGACUCUAAAAUCAGAGAAAGCAACUGCAUCCCAGAGGAGAAGGACUAGGCAAUGGUUCUGAGGAGGAAACUGCAAAGAAAGAAAGACCACAUUGCAUGAGAUGGAUUGAACAUAUAGAGUACAUGGAAAACAACAACCAGAAUACAGGAGAGAGAAAGACUGUGUCCUGGUGUAUCCAACACUUUCACUUGGACAGGAUGACCUCAGCUAGGGUAUGACUUAUUCUCCACUUAGAACCUGAGGUGAAAACAGGAGUGUGAAGAAUGCAGGGGGAGGGGCGGAAUAUCAUUUGACUCACAGCUGCUGGGGCCAUCAUGUGCCUCCUGAUAGUGCCAGCUUCACUUGUCAUAAGAGCACAGUCCAAACACAGCCCCCCUUCUUCAUGAUUCUCUGAAUAUAACUUAAGGAAUACUGUCUAUCUGUCUAAGUAGCUGAUAAAAAAAUUAUACAAAGUGUGUUUUUUUUCCAGGCAAUUUAUUAAUCUAUACCAGAAUAGCAAAGGAGUCAGAUUUUCUAUUUCAAUUGUGUAAUAAUGUUUUCCUGGUAAAGUUAUAACAAAUUGAAGGCAGAACCCUAAAAAUGAUGUACAGGGGGAAUAUUUGUAGGAUGCUAUAAAUAACACUGAAUUGUGAUGAUUGCAAAUGUCUGUGAAUCUACUCAAUGCUGUUAACUUGCAUAGUUAAAACAGAUGGAUUUUACUGUAUGCAAAGUAUAUAGCCACAUAUAAAAACUUUCAGCAUUCCAUUAAAGGAUUAAUGCUUGAUUGCUGUCCA